UGGUUGGAGUACGUGGAGGCUCUAAUAAGAUGAUUCCAAAAACAUUUUUCGUUUUUCCAGGAUAAAUUUUACCCUCAACUCUGUAAGCAACUUUUUCACACUCAUUUGCGUAAAAUUUUUGGGUGCAAUGUUUCAAAAUUUCAUCUGGUAUUUCAUCGUUAUAAUUUCCGUCUAAAUCUGUUGUAGGUUUAAAUCCCAAAUUGGAAGGAUACUUUCCCCAUUCAUAAACCAUAGUUGGAACCAGAAAAGGAUUUUUCUGUUUAAGCGAUGAAUUGAGUAAACAU
rnacentral:sRNA from 1 species